CUUGAAAAAAUAUUAAUUAGAAUGGGGAGAUCAAGAUAAAUGAAACAGAACACAAGUAUGUAAACCAUAAAGGCCAUAUUGUGUAUUAUAGAUAACUUUUAAGAAAAUAAAAGAUGUCUAGGAAUUUUAAAAAUGACUUUUACAUUAUUGUAAGUGUUACAUGCUUUAUUAUUAUGAAUGCUAGAUUAUUUGCUUAGAUUUAGAAAUAUUAAGAAAUGCUUGCUACCUAAUGAAUGCAAGUGACUUUGGCAACUAGGAUAUAUGGAGUUACAAAAAGGAUACAUUACAGUCCAUGGAAUAACAUAAUGACAGUUUUUGUGUUUGGUGCCUGUCAAGUGUCUAGUACUAUUUUAGCUACUUUGUGUGGGGAAGGUUGGUAUAGAAGAUGUUUUCAUGUGCUGGAUAAAAAAAAAAUAACAAAAUGCUAGAUAAAUAAAAUGAUAGUUAAACCAGAAUAUUUUAAAGACUGGUAGGUUUUACCUUUAAAAAGCAAAAACCAAAGCCAGUUGUCAUCAGGUUUGUCGAUAGGUGCACUGUUAUCAAUAAAUCAAAUUACGUAGAGGAUGCGGACUCUCCUCACUGGGAAUAUCUUCCAGAGUAUAGGAUAUUGGUUCCUAUCUCUUGCCUCCUGCCUUUCCCUUAAACUAAAAUUGUUGUUGUUGUGUGCCAUCGAGUUAAUUCCAACUCAUAGCGAUCCUGUAGGAUAGAGUAGAACUGCCCCAAGGGGUUUUCGUGCCUGUGAUCUUUACAGGAGCAGAUUGCCAGGUCUUUUCUCCUGUGAAGCUACUGGUAGAUUUGAACCUUUUGGUUAGCAGCAGAGCACUUACUUUCAAAUUGAUUCUAACUCAUGGUGACUUCAUGUGAAUCAGAGUAGAACUCUGCUCCAUAGAGUUUUCAUGACUGUCGUCUUUUGGUAGCAGAUCGCUAAGGCUUUUCUUCCAGAUGCACCUUUGGAUGGGUUCAUUCAAACCACCCCUCCCCUUACCCCUGUUUUAUUUGUGGCUUCUCCAACUCAGGUUUGUUGUUCCCAAUAGUUAUCGUACAGUGAAAAUGAGCCUCAAACUUCUCUAUCAAGUGCACAACCCUACCAGUCAGAAUAGACUUUCCUUCCCAGUUCUUCCCUGCUCAAAUUUUAAGUAGGUUUCCUGUACUAACUUCCCUUUAAUAUUAAGUUAACAUAGUCUUUACCCUGGUUCAUAUUUCUCUUUGAGUUGUGUCUGCUCAUAAUUUUUUCUGUCAUAAUACACAUUUCAGUCCAAGCAACCUGAACCACCUGUUACUGGCAGAACUAUAGUAAGCUCACUUUGCCUUUUCCCAAUCUUAGUCUGUAGAUUUCCCAAUAGAUACCAUUCGUCAUCAACAUUGCAUUCUUAAUUUUAUAAACAGGGAACAGUAAUCAAGCACCUACUAUAUGGCAGUCUUUACACUAGAAGCUUGGAUUAUAAAGAUGAACCAGGCAUGCCUACUAUGUGUAAAGAUCUUUUCUAAUAGGGAAGAAAAAAAAAUUUUUUUUUUUUUUGUCCGACAGACAUGUAAAUAAUGAAUAACUGUAAAAUGUGUUGUAUUAUCAUCUAGAUGGAAACAAAGUAUUCUAACUUAAUGUUUAGGGAAAGGAUGUCUUCAAGGAAAUGGGAUUUGAACUGGACCUUGAAGAUUGAGUAGGAGGGUACUCACUUCGGCAGCACAUGUACUAAAAUUAGAAUGAUACAGAGAAGAUUAGCGUGGCCCCUGUGUAACGAUGACACACAAAUUCGUGAAGCAUUCCAUAUUUUUUAUGGGAGUGUUGACAUGUCCUGGGGUUGGUAACCAGUGUCACAAAUUUGCUCCUUAUAUAGGGAGUCACAUACAUAUUCAUGUACAGUGAGGGGACAAUCUUCAGUCCUGGGAUCCAUGCACAGUCCGCAUAAUUUUUGUGAAUGAGUUUUUGCGCACAGCUCUAAAACUACUGCACACAGUCCUAGAAAAAUGGUGAUGGCUCACUACUGCCACCCCAGGAAGGUCGUGUAGCGGGUAAAUUUGGAGUUCGUGCCCCUGCAUCUCAGCCUCCUGCAAGAGAAGAAGAGGAAACCUGGUGAAUCAACCAAUCAUGAAGUGCUAUGGUGAAGUGCUAUGAAAGUUGCAACAAAAAUGUAACAAGGGUAGACUUUUCUGAAAAAUAACUAUUAUGUGAUGGUCAAUAACCUUCUACCUGCUUCAGUACCUACUUUGUAGGGUUAUUGUGAAGACUUUUUAGGACAUUUUUAGUAGUUUCAUAGUGAUGACUAAGUGAGUUUAAAAAAAAAUUAUCCUGCACACAAAAAAAUUAAUAGGCAUGGGAAUAGUGACAGUCCUAUAAUGUAAAAAUUUAUCAGGCUUCUUCAAGUCUGUUUUAGAGAAAUGGGAACAGCAUGUAUCAUUCUGAAUGUAAAGUCCAGAAAUUCCUUCUUAUCAAGUCUAUCCUGUCAUUAUGUUUUUAUUCAGUUAGUUAUCAUUUAUUUCCUUUUUACCAGGAUUGUGUCCCCAGUAUUCCUGAAUACCAUUUGAAAGAUCUGACUCAUAAGUUCCAAAGACCAGGUGGUUAUGUGAAACCAGCAUUAUGGAAAAAUGGAGGAUGACUACAUCAUUACAUGACUGCCAAAUUACAUCUUUACAUAGCUGUCAAAUUACAUCAUUACAUAACUGUCAAACCGCUGAGAAUCAUGGCCCAACCAAAUUGACACAUAACCAUCAUUGCAGUAAGAGUUAUUCUCGCUUUGCACCUCGGUCCUUGGUAGUGCCUGAUCUUUGACAAAGGCUCAAAGUCCAUUAAAUGGGGAAAAGACAGCCUUUUUAACAAAUGGUGCUGGCAAAACUGGAUGUCCGUCUGCAAAAAAAUGAAACUGGACCCAUACCUCACACCAUACACAAAAAGUAAUUCAAAAUGGAUCGAAGAUCUAAAUGUAAAAUAAAAAACUAUAAAGAUCAUAGAAGAAAAAAUAGUGUCAAUGCUAGAGGCCCUAAUACACGGCAUUAACAGGAUACAAACUGUAACUAACAAUACACAAACACCAGAAGAUAAGCUAGAUAACUGAGAUCUUCUAAAAAUUAAACACUUCGGCUCAUCAAAAGACUUUACCAAAAGAGUAAAGAGACAACCUACAGGCUGGGAAAACAUUUCUGGUUACGACAAAUCUGACAAAGGUCUACUCUCUAAAAUCUACUGCAAAAUCCACCACCUCUACAACAAAAAGACAAAUAAUCCAAUCAAAAAAUGGGCAAAGGAUAUGAACAGACACUUCACCAAAGAAGACAUUCAGGCAGCUAAAAACAUGAGGAAGUGCUCACAAUCACUAGGCAUUACCCAGUACCCAGUGCCAUCGAGUCGAACUCUAUGGGGCAGUUCUACUCUGUCACUAGCCAUUAGAGAAAUGCAAAUCAAAACCACAAUGAGAUACCAUCUCACCCCAACAUUACUGUCAUGAACCAAAAAACAGAAAAGAAGCGUUGGAGAGGCUAUGGGGAGAUUGGAACUCUUAUGCACUGCUGGUGGGAAUGGAAAAGAUAGAACAUUUUUGGAAAAUGAUAUGACGCUUUCUUAAAAAGCUAGAAAUAGACGGGGCGGGGCCAAGAUGAUGAACUAGCCAGAAGCUUCAGACGAUCACUCUAACAAAGAAGACCCGAAAAAACAAGUGAAUUGAUUGUAUAUAUGACAAACUAGAAACCCUGAGCAUCAAAGGCGAAAUGAAGGAAUCAGUCUGAGUGACAGGGUAGGGAGAGACGGUGUAGAAGCAGCGAUGAGUUGCUGAGCCAUGCAGUGCCUCAGCUCCAAUUCUUUGACACCAUUCUUUGGCACGACUGUGGCGGGGCUGAUGGUAGUUCCCUGAGACACAGCAGCUUCAGCGAGAGAAGGCAAGCGGAGUAGUGCACCCCUGACCCUGUGGCAUGUCUACAAUGGGGCUGGCUGUGGCAUUUAGGAAGUGGCUGCUUCAGUGAAAGAAGGCAGCCAAAGUGCUGACACCCUGACCCCCUGGCAUGACAGCCACGGGACUGGCGGUGGAGUUUACGACACAGCUGCUUCAGCGAAAGAAGACAACGUGGGACACAGCCCUAACCCCCUGGGGCAGUCUCGGCGGGGAGCCAGCCAGUGCACACAGGCUACACAUGCCUCUGGAAUCUGAGAUAAAACAGCGCUCUUGACACAGAUAAGUGUGUUUGUCUAAUUUACUGCUUGUGGAUCUAAUAGCUCCUUCUUUUGAAAGAACUCUCUCCUGUCUGUCUAAUCCUUCCUCCUCUGCCCCAGCUGGCUUCAUUAACAGUUGAUUUCCCUGGGCCUGAGAUAGAACCUGCUGCACUCCAUGAGCCAUUCUCCUGACCUUUUAGAAGGAACAGAUUAACAAAUGGGGGGAAAAAUACUCUGCAGUCUCCCCUAAUCUGGAAGCAUAGAGCAAAAGCAGCUCUAGUCCAAGCAUAAGCGAUCCAGACUUUGUCUCUCACCCCUACAUAGAUCCAGGUGGCUAUUAUAUUGCAAGGGCAAAUAUGUUUGAGGUCUGACUGUUUCAGCUGUACGGUGGAGAGGCAGGUUUUGGAGAUCUGAUACCACUCUGCCUAUUAAAUAGGGCCUUCACCUACCCACAGCAGGGGCCUGCAGACUGGAAGCUCCAUCCAUGCCAACUAGCCACCCGGGAAAGCAUAGUGGUGCCUACCAGUCCUUACAGAUAUAAGCAAUGGGUGCCUAAGGUACAGCUGCAGAGUCUACCCACCAGAGCGCUCUAAAGAACAGAGACGCUCCUUCCUCACUGACACUUGGGGGAAGGCUCUCAGCCCCCUGCCUUCCUCAGAGUGUGACCCCUGCCGCUACCAGAAACCAGUGCAUACACCCAUCACCACUGCUCCUCUAAGAUAGUAGGUGAAAGCCUACACCACAAACUAGGUGACCGACUAUCAGGAACCUGAGCUAAAUCAAUACAAGAAUAGUGAAUGGACUCCUGGGCUCAUAUACCUGGUAACAACUCCAGCCAUCUGGUAACAGGACAUUAGUGCUUCAAAGGCUCCGAUAACCAAGUUAGCUCACUCUCGUAGCCUGUUUAGCUACAUCAAAACAAAACAAAGCAAGAAACUAGGACACGGUGAGCAAACAUAAAAUGAAUAUAAUAACUUAUAGAUGGUUUGGAGACAACAGUUGAUAUCAAAUCACAUAAAGAAGCAGACCAUGAUUGCUUCAACAAAUUCACAAAACAGAGAAUCAAGGACUCUCCCUGAUAAAAAUUUAAUAAACUGCAAAAAUCCAUAGAGAGCAAUCAGAAAUUCAGAAGAUUAACAAUAAGAUUACAGAAUUAGACAACUCAAUAGAAAGUCAGAGGAGCAGAAUUGAGGAACUGGAAAGCAGAAUUUGUGAGAUUGAAGAUAAAUCACUUGGAACCAAUAUAUUUGAGGAAAAAAUCAGAUAAAAGAAUUUUUUAAAAUGAGGAAACCCUAAAAAUCAUGUGGGACUCUGCGAGUGAUUGGAAUACCAGAACAGGGAGGGGUAAUAGAAAAUACAGAGAGAAUUGUUGAAGAUUUGUUGGCAAAAAACUUCCCUGAUAUCAUGAAAGAUGAGAAGAUAUCUAUCCAAAUUGCUCAUUGAACUCCACAUAAGGUAGAUGUUAAAGUCACCAAGACAUCUUAUAAUCAAACUUGCCAAAACCAAAGAUAAAGAGAGAAUUGCAAGAGCAGCGAGGGAUAAACGAAAAGUCACCUACAAAGGACAGCCAAUAAGGAUAAUCUCAGACUACUCGGCAGAAACCAUGCAGGCAAGAAGGCAAUGGGAUGACAUAUCUAAAGCAUUGAAGGAGAAAAAUUGCCAGCCAGGGAUCAUAUAUCCAGCAAAACUGUCUUUUAAAUAUGAAGGCAAAAUUAAGACAUUUACAGAUAGUAGGUGAAAACCUGCACCACACAUGAAGUGACCAACUAUCAGGACACCUGAGCCAAAUCAGUACAAGAAUAGUGAAGGAACUCCUAGGCUCAUAUACCUGGUAACAGCUCUGGCUAUCUGGUAACAGGACAUUAGUUCUUCAAAUGCUCCGAUAACCAAGUUAGCGCACUCUAGUAGCCUAGGAAAUUUGCAAAAACCAAACCAAAACUACAAGAAGUACUAAAGGGAAUUCUCUGGAGAGAAAAUCAACAAUAUCAGAUAUCAGCCCAACACUAGAACAUAGAACAGAGCAACCAGGUAUCAAGUCAGAUAGGGAAAUCAUAAAAAUAAAUCAAGAUUAAAAAAAAAAAAAGCUCAAAACAUGGAAUCAGUGACGUCAUUGUGUAAAAGGUGAAAAUAAUAAAGAAGGACUAAAUAAAGUAGGUACAGAUCUUCCGUAUAGAGAGGAAAUCAAGGCGAUAUAGGGUGAUUCAAGUUAGCUUUAAUCUUAGACAACUAGGGGUAAAUAUCGAGGUAACCACAAAGAAGACUAACAAUCCUACACUUCAAAAAAAAAAAAAAAGAUAAA